rnacentral:tRNA from 1 species
GCCAGCAUAGCUCAGUGGUAGAGCAGGGCUUUCAUAAGGCCAAGGUCGCAGGUUCGAUCCCUGCUGCUGGCACAA